rnacentral:rRNA from 1 species
AGUUUUGAGCUAAAUAUAUUUAUAAUAUUAGUUAUUUAUGAAGGUGUUGUAAAAUCUUUAUUUAAAAUUAUAUUUAGGGGUGACAGACCUUUCAAAAACUAAGAUAUCUUGAAUCUAAUUAAAAGUAUGUAGUACAAUUAACACAACUAUUAAGUGAUUAGGCUUUAUAGAAUUAUUAACUUAUAAGAUUUUAUUUACUAUAAUUUAAUAAUUAAGUACAUAAAUAUAUUAAUAUUCAUAUAUUAUAGUUUAUAAAAGAGUAAUUAGAUAGAUUUAAGUUCAUAUUUCUUAUAAUAAUGUUAAUAUUAGUAUUAAGUUUAUAUUUAUAUGAUGAACUCGGCAAAAAUACUUCUCAACUGUUUAUCAAAAACAUAACUAUGUGAAUGAAUACAUAGCGGUUUCUGCUCAA